rnacentral:lncRNA from 1 species
AAGAAAACUCCAAGCACCAUACAUCUGUAUAUAAGAAAUAAAAGUUCAAACAAAUAUACUUGCCUAGAACAGUUGUGUAGAAUGUAAAGCGACUUCAAUAUAUAACACUCAUGGAAAUCUCUGUAUGGUUACAAAUAUAUAAGGAUUUGAUGAUAUAUAGAUCCUGCUCAAUUACAUAAUACUCUCUAACACAGUAACAUGGUUAUAAACUUCUCAUGAAAAACUACACAAGUUUGCGAACAAUAUAAACUCAGCUGUGUAUAAGUUAAUAAGAUCCAAAGGUGAAAAAAAAAAUCAAGAUAGUUCAUAUCGCAAGAAGUAGAUAUCUAAAAUUAGUAUGGUAGCAGUUGAAAAAUAAUGCAGCCACAUUGUGACAUAAUAAUGGUAAAAGUUAAAAAAAAA